AAUAGGAUCGACGUGCGUAAUAAAGAUAUAACUUUUGCUCAGCAUGAUUCCGCUGUGACGGGUCAAAUUUGUAGAUGCAAACGAUAAUAACGAAGCAUUUGCUGUAGCUGCCUAAUAGGUUAGUUACGCGGGGUCCGGAGGGCACCUAGCAACAGAAGCCCUUCACU
rnacentral:tmRNA from 1 species